rnacentral:rRNA from 1 species
UCCUUAGAUGUUCUGGGCCACACGCGCGUUACACUGAUGAAGCCAGCGAGUAUAUCGCCUUCACCGGAAGGUGCGGGUAAUCUUGUGAAACUUCAUCGUGCUGGGGAUAGACCAUUGCAAUUAUUGGUCUUGAACGAGGAAUUCCUAGUAAGCAUGAGUCAUCAACUCGUGCUGAUUACGUCCCUGCCCUUUGUACACACCGCCCGUCGCUACUACCGAUUGAAUGGUUUAGUGAGAUCUCGGGAUUGGAGACGUUGCGCCGCAAGGCACAUCGUCCUCGAGAACUUGAUCAAACUUGAUCAUUUAGAGGAAGUAAAAGUCGUAACA